GACGAACGCUGGCGGCGUGCUUAACACAUGCAAGUCGAACGGAAAGGCCCUGCUUGCAGGGUACUUGAGUGGCGAACGGGUGAGUAACACGUGGGUGAUCUGCCAUGCACUUCGGGAUAAGCCUGGGAAACUGGGUCUAAUACCGGAUAGGAGCCAUUUUUAGUGUGAUGGUUGGAAAGUUUUUUCGGUGUAGGAUGAGCUCGCGGCCUAUCAGCUUGUUGGUGGGGUAAUGGCCUACCAAGGCGGCGACGGGUAGCCGGCCUGAGGGGGUGGACGGCCACAUUGGGACUGAGAUACGGCCCAGACUCCUACGGGAGGCAGCAGUGGGGAAUAUUGCACAAUGGGCGCAAGCCUGAUGCAGCGACGCCGCGUGGGGGAUGACGGCCUUCGGGUUGUAAACUCCUUUCGCUAGGGACGAAGCUUUUUGUGACGGUACCUAGAUAAGAAGCACCGGCUAACUACGUG
rnacentral:rRNA from 1 species